GGGGAUGUAGCUUAAUGGUAAGGCACUUGCCUAGCAUGUGUGAGUCCUGAGUCUAAUUCCCAGCACCAUCA
rnacentral:tRNA from 1 species